rnacentral:misc_RNA from 1 species
GUGAGUCAUCGAAUCUUUGAACGCACCUUGCACUCUUUGGUAUUCCGAAGAGUAUGUCUGUUUGAGUGUCAUGAAACUCUCAACCCCCUUGUUUUGUAAUGAAGCAGGCGUGGGCUUGGAUUAUGGCUGUCUGCUGGACUCUUUAAGUAGAGAUCGGCUCGGCUGAAAUAUACGAGUAACCCAGUUUGAAUAUUAACGGCUUGACUCGGCGUAAUAGCUUUAUUUCGCUGAGGACGUUUCAUAUCAAGAUAGUGGUGCUUCUAAUGCGUCGUAGCGUCAGCUGCACAACCUUUAAGCUUU